AUGCCAUAUCAAGAACACGAGAGGGAGAGAGAGGAGAGAAAGAGAGAGAGAGAGAGAGAGAGAGAGAGAGAUCAAACACAUAGCUACUGGUACAUACCCUCAGCCCCAAGGGUGAACUACUCCCUUCUCGUCAUGGAGAGCGCCAGGAUGAUGAAGAUGGCCACCGGUGAUAGAUCCCCCCUCCGGCAGGGUGCCGAAACAGGGUCCCAAUUGGUUUUUGGUGACUACAGAGGCUUGCGGCGGCGGAACUCCCGAUCUAGGUUAUUUUCUGGAGGUUUGGGGAUUUAUAGGAGAGGUUGGCGUCGAGAACAAGUAAGGGGGACCCACGGAGAGUCCACGAGGCACAGGGGGGCGCCCCAAGGGGGUGGGUGCACCCUCCACCCUCGUGGGCCCCAUGGGACUCCCCUCCUGUAA
rnacentral:rRNA from 1 species